GAAGCGGCAACAGCUCAAAUUUGAAAUCUGGCGUCAGCCCGAGUUGUAAUUUGUAGAGGAUGCUUCUGGGUAGCGGCCGUUCUAAGUUCCUUGGAACAGGACGUCAUAGAGGGUGAGAAUCCCGUACGUGACCGGCGCGCACCCUCCACGUAGCUCCUUCGACGAGUCGAGUUGUUUGGGAAUGCAGCUCUAAAUGGGAGGUAAAUUUCUUCUAAAGCUAAAUACCGGCCAGAGACCGAUAGCGCACAAGUAGAGUGAUCGAAAGAUGAAAAGCACUUUGGAAAGAGAGUUAAAAAGCACGUGAAAUUGUUGAAAGGGAAGCGCUCACAACCAGACUUCGUAGCGGUGUUCCCCCGGUCUUCUGACCGGGUCAUUCGCCGUCGCGAGGCCAACAUCAUCUGGGGCCGCCGGAUAAGACCGUUAGAAUGUAGCUCCUCUCGGGGAGUGUUAUAGCUAGCGGUGAUGCGGCGUGUCCCGGGUGAGGUCCGCACUUCGGUAAGGAUGUUGGCGUAAUGGUUGUCAGCGGCCCGUCUUGAAACACGGACCAAGGAGUCUAACAUCUAUGCGAGUGUUCGGGUGUCAAACCCCUACGCGUAAUGAAAGUGAACGGAGGUGGGAACGCAAGUGCACCAUCGACCGAUCCUGAUGUCCUCGGAUGGAUUUGAGUAAGAGCAUAGCUGUUGGGACCCGAAAGAUGGUGAACUAUGCCUGAAUAGGGUGAAGCCAGAGGAAACUCUGGUGGA
rnacentral:rRNA from 1 species